rnacentral:lncRNA from 1 species
UUCCCAUUUCUCAGUCGCAUGCCUCUACUUCAUCUGAAACUCUAUCCAUCUUCGCUCGCGGUCAAGGGCGUUAAGUUCGCUCUUGAUCGCUUCAUGGUUCAACUGCUCCUUAUUUUUAACAGCCAAUCUUUUAGCCUUAAGCUUCUCUAAAUGCAUAGAGCUGGUGAACCGAUGAGCUGGUGUGCCGAUGAACUACGGGAGACGAUAGGGCAUAGAGGCAAAUCGUUAAACCACUUGAGGGCUGUGCUAGAUACUUUUCUGAAAAUUUCCCUGCUAUAUCGGUUCAAUGGUUC